rnacentral:rRNA from 1 species
UUUUAGUAUUUAGUUUAAAUUAUAUUAUAUAUAUUUAUUUUUUUUUGAUAUUAGAAUCCCCGUGAGGGAGUGGUUUUAGUUUAUUGAUUACCUUUUGUAUAAGGGUUAGUAGAAGUUAAAUUGUUUGCUUUUUAUUAGAAUAAAAAAGAUCUUACAUUAGUUAUUAAUAUUAGAAUUAAUUUAAAAUUUUUGUAAUGAGUGAUACGCUUUGGUUUUUUUAAUUAACUAAAUAUUUAUUUAAUAAGGAGGGGGUAAAACUCUUUCUUAAAAAUUUUAUUUUUUUUAUGUUUUCCUUAAUAGUAGGGGUUUGUGUAGUAACUAUAGAACUUUAUUUAUUAUAUUACUUGUUUUAACUUAUUUUUAAAUUAUUAGAUUAGUAGAGAUGUAUUAGAUUUUAUUUUUAUUUUAUUAUAAUUAAUAUUUAUAAAUAUUACUUUUAUGUUACUAAUUAAACCUAAGACUGGUUAUUUAAACCAUAGUUGUAAUGUUUAUAAUUGUUUCUGCUCUAUGUUUUUAUUAAUGGCUGUGAUUUUCACACUAAGGUAGCGAAGUCAUUAGUUAUUUUAUUGAUAACCUGUAUGAAUGAGGUUUCUUAGGUUAAAUUCUUUUUUAUUUUUAAAUUAUAUUGUUGUUGAAAAUAACAAUAUAUUCCUUAAGACUAAAAGACCCUGGGAUUUUUAUACUCUUUAAGUAUUUGGUUGGGGAAAUAAUAUUAUUUAAAUAAAAAUAUUUUGUUAUUUUAUUGAACUUUUAUUAAAGAUAGAUGGAAAAAUACCCCAGGGAUAACAGCUUAAUUAUUUUUAUUAGUUCUUAUAUGUAAAAUAGUUUAAGACCUCGAUGUUGGAUUGAAAUUAUUUUUAGGUGUAGAGACUUAGAGAGUAAGACUGUUCGUCUUUUAAA